GUCUAUGGCCACACCGCCUGAACUUGCCCGAUCUUGUCUGACCUUGGAAGCUAAGCAGGGUCGGGCCUGCUUAGUACUCGGAUAGGAGACCACCCAGGAAUACCAGGUGCUGUAGGUG
rnacentral:rRNA from 1 species